GAUGAACGCUGGCGGCGUGCCUAAUACAUGCAAGUCGAGCGAACAGACGAGGAGCUUGCUCCUCUGACGUUAGCGGCGGACGGGUGAGUAACACGUGGAUAACCUACCUAUAAGACUUGGAUAACUUCGGGAAACCGGAGCUAAUACCGGAUAAUAUAUUGAACCGCAUGGUUCAAUAGUGAAAGACGGUUUUGCUGUCACUUAUAGAUGGAUCCGCGCCGCAUUAGCUAGUUGGUAAGGUAACGGCUUACCAAGGCAACGAUGCGUAGCCGACCUGAGAGGGUGAUCGGCCACACUGGAACUGAGACACGGUCCAGACUCCUACGGGAGGCAGCAGUAGGGAAUCUUCCGCAAUGGGCGAAAGCUUGACGGAGCAACGCCGCGUGAGUGAUGAAGGUCUUCGGAUCGUAAAACUCUGUUAUUAGGGAAGAACAAAUGUGUAAGUAACUAUGCACGUCUUGACGGUACCUAAUCAGAAAGCCACGGCUAACUACGUG
rnacentral:rRNA from 1 species